UUACAGAGUUUUCUAAACUCCCAACCCUAUGUGAACUUACCUUUGUUGCUUCGGCGGCGGAGGCUACCCUGCGGGGGAAUACCACCUAGUGGUUACCCUGUAGUCACAGGUACAUCAGUACCCGGUAGUCAUCCCCGCCGGCGGCCAACUAAACUCUGUUCUCUUUGGAAUUCUGAAUCAUAAACUUAAUAAGUUAAAACUUUCAACAACGGAUCUCUUGGUUCUGGCAUCGAUGAAGAACGCAGCGAAAUGCGAUAAGUAAUGUGAAUUGCAGAAUUCAGUGAAUCAUCGAAUCUUUGAACGCACAUUGCGCCCAUUAGCAUUCUAGUGGGCAUGCCUGUUCGAGCGUCAUUUCACCACUUAAGCCCUGUUGCUUAGCGUUGGGAGCCUACGGCGUAGCCCGUAGCUCCUUAAAGUGAUUGGCGGAGUUGGUUCUCACUCUAAGCGUAGUAAUUAUAUUUCGCUUUUGUAGUGGUCCCGGCCCUUGCCGUAAAACCCCUUAUACAAAGGUUGACCUCGGAUCAGGUAGGAAUACCCGCUGAACUUAAGCAUAUCAAUAAGCGGAGGAAAAGAAACCAACAGGGAUUGCCCUAGUAACGGCGAGUGAAGCGGCAACAGCUCAAAUUUGAAAUCUGGCUCUAGGGCCCGAGUUGUAA
rnacentral:rRNA from 1 species